rnacentral:rRNA from 1 species
UACGGAGGGUGCAAGCGUUAUCCGGAUUCACUGGGUUUAAAGGGCGCGUAGGAGGGCAGGGAAGUCCGUGGUGAAAUCUCCGAGCUUAACUCGGAAACUGCCGUGGAUACUCUCUGUCUUGAAUCCCGUGGAGAUGAGCGGAAUAUGUCAUGUAGCGGUGAAAUGCUUAGAUAUGACAUAGAACACCAAUUGCGAAGGCAGCUCGUUACACGAAGAUUGACUCUGAGGCACGAAAGCGUGGGGAUCAAACAGG